UGUUAAAAAUUUCAUCUAUUUGUACUUUUAAAAACUGGUGUAAUUGAACCAAACAUUGACACACGGAGUGCCACAUAUACUUCAUGUUGGCGUAUAGAGACCAAUUUUUAAUAGUAGAAAUAGAUGGAAUUUUUAAUA
rfam:Gossypium hirsutum cultivar TM-1 chromosome 4, whole genome shotgun sequence